GACAGAGGUGCCAAGCGUUAGGCGGAAUCACUGGGCUUAAAGCGUGUGUAGGCGGAUGCCUAAGUACCUUGUGAAAUCCCACGGCUCAACCGUGGAACUGCUUGGUAUAACUGGUUGUUCUUGGGCCAUCUAGGGGCUAGCGGAACAAACGGGUGGAGGCGGUGAAAUGCGUAGAUAUCGUUUGGAACGCCAAUGGUGAAAACAGC
rnacentral:rRNA from 1 species